AAGUCUGCGCGGGCCGUUGCCUAGCCACUGCGAAUGCCGUCAGCCGCUUUGCAGGCCUGAAGUGGAGAAGGAGGCCGCAAACGGACUUUCGCGGUUGAGAUGCUCUCUGGCCCUAGGAAAGUUUCUCUGGGGUUGAUUUGAUCAAUACAGACACUUUACGCCUGUUUUCCAUACCCGUCCCUGAGAUGUUUUGGAGACUGGCUGAAAAUCUUUCCUCUUGGCCUGGACAGUGCAUCCAAACACCUGAGCCCUGUGGGCAAUUUUACCAUUUUACCUAGAGAUGAGGAAACCAAAGCCCAGAAAAGAUAAACUGCCCAAGUUCAUUCUCAGUAUGCAACCUAUGCAGAGUGCAGUUCAUCAGAUACUCAGCCCAGUAUUUAUUUGCUCAACUAUAUAGAGAUGGCUUUCCUGAAGAUAAAGAUCAGAAAAGUUAGAAACUUAUCCAUCUGGCUGCGCGUGGUGGCUCACACCUAUAAUCCCAGCACUUUGGGAGGCCAAGGUGGGCAGAUCGCCUGAGGUCCGGAG
rnacentral:lncRNA from 1 species